AAAAUGUGUGAUUCAAUGCGCACACUACCAUUUAGCACUUUGUUUCAAUUUGUUCAGCAUCCACCUCCUUCAUCCGAGAUGAGAACUGGUGUACCCAUAAUCCUCUUUGUUGCAGUGGCAGGUUUCCACAGUGUGAUUUCAUUUUCUCUGCAAUGUGAUGAAACGACUAAAUUGUCAGAAGAGAGAGCGUUUGAAGAGAACAGCACAACACCACAAACAGAUGGAGAGACAAAGGCAGUGACAGACACUACAGAGGAGGAAAAUGGUGAAGAAUCAGACGGAGCGAACACCGGAAGUGACGCGCCAACAGGAAGGUCACGCUCGGUGGAGGUCCAUUCAUCACCACACGAGGGCGACAAACACAGUGAGCAGGUGGAAGAGAAUGUGAAAAGUUCUGAGGAUUCCAGUGAAGAAUACGGUGGAUAUUACGAUUCUUAAGACUGUGUGGAAGGCAUCUAACAUCUUUAAACCUAAAUGCCUUGUUUUAUAAAUCAUAUUGCAAAAUUUCUAACCAACUGUCUGUAGCACCUGGACAAAAAACAUGCAUUGUGACCACUGCUUUUUUUUUCUUUCCAAAUAAAGACUGUAAGCACUGGCGGGUGUCCAGCAUUCAUAGAAACGCUAGGUUGCAGAUGGGUGUAAUAACAGAUGAUUACAUGGCUUCUUAGAGGCAGCAGUGUGAGUAGCAGAUGUGGCAGUGUUAGAACAUAUCUAGGACGGUUAUCCAGGCCAGCGGCGUCUACAGUCCGUGGGUGCUCAUUUGAGCUUUAUUUAUAUCAUCUGCAUUGUCCCAGCUUAUUUUUGGACCAAAGAUGCAUCAUCGCCCGUCCCCAAAUCCCACAACCUGAUGAGGACGAGCUGUUUUACUGCAUAUAGAGCAGCAAGCAUUUAUUGCGGUUUUACUGUAUAUAGAAAAAGACUCCUAAACUCUCAAGAAAUACUUUGCAAUUGUGGAGGGAAAUGUUGAUAGUUCUUUGCUAAAUGCAUGUUUCGCAUUUAGUCCAUGUUGUAAUGCAUCGUUUUAAUGGUCAAAAUUUAAAUCUAUAGUGUUUUGUCUGUUAAGGAUUAGGGAACUACACAC
rnacentral:lncRNA from 1 species